ACUCCUACGGGAGGCAGCAGUAAGGAAUAUUGGACAAUGGGCGAAAGCCUGAUCCAGCCAUCCCGCGUGCAGGACGAAGGCCCUCUGGGUUGUAAACUGCUUUUGUCAGGGAAGAAUUGAGUGGAUUUAUCUGCUUUUGACGGUACCUGAAGAAUAAGCACCGGCUAACUCCGUGCCAGCAGCCGCGGUAAUAC
rnacentral:rRNA from 1 species